rnacentral:rRNA from 1 species
AGGGUUUGAUCAUGGCUCAGAAUCAACGCUGGCGGCGUGCCUAACACAUGCAAGUCGAACGCGAAAGCCCCGCAAGGGGCAAGUAGAGUGGCAAACGGGUGAGUAACACGUGGGUGACCUGCCUUCGAGCGGGGGAUAACGUCCCGAAAGGGACGCUAAUACCGCAUAACAUCCUGCCUUUGAAGAGGUGGAGAUCAAAGCUGGGGAUCGCAAGACCCGGCACUUGAAGAGGGGCCCGCGCCUGAUUAGCUAGUUGGUGGGGUAAUGGCCUACCAAGGCAACGAUCAGUAUCCGGCCUGAGAGGGCGGACGGACACACUGGGACUGAGACACGGCCCAGACUCCUACGGGAGGCAGCAGUGGGGAAUUGUUCGCAAUGGGCGCAAGCCUGACGACGCAACGCCGCGUGGAGGAUGAAGAUUUUCGGAUCGUAAACUCCUGUCGAAUGGGACGAAUAGAUUGCGGGUUAACAGCCCGUAGUCCUGACGGUACCGUUAAAGGAAACCCCGGCUAACUCCGUGCCAGCAGCCGCGGUAAUACGGGGGGGGUAAGCGUUGUUCGGAAUUACUGGGCGUAAAGGGCUCGUAGGCGGCCAACUAAGUCAUACGUGAAAUCCCUCAGCUUAACUGGGGAACUGCGUGUGAUACUGGAUGGCUUGGAUGUGGGAGAGGGAUGCGGAAUUCCAGGUGUAGCGGUGAAAUGCGUAGAUAUCUGGAGGAACACCGGUGGCGAAGGCGGCAUCCUGUACCAUUAUUGACGCUGAGGAGCGAAAGCCAGGGGAGCAAACGGGAUUAGAUACCCCGGUAGUCCUGGCCCUAAACGAUGAAUGCUUGGUGUAGCGGGUAUCGAUCCCUGCUGUGCCGAAGCUAACGCAUUAAGCAUUCCGCCUGGGGAGUACGGUCG